GAUGAAGAACGUAGCAAAAUGCGAUAAGUAAUGUGAAUUGCAGAAUUCAGUGAAUCAUCGAAUCUUUGAACGCACAUUGCGCCCGCUGGUAUUCCGGCGGGCAUGCCUGUUCGAGCGUCAUUUCAACCCUCAAGCCCCCGGGUUUGGUGUUGGGGAUCGGCUCUGCCCUACUGGGCGGUGCCGCCCCCGAAAUACAUUGGCGGUCUCGCUGCAGCCUCCAUUGCGUAGUAGCUAACACCUCGCAACUGGAACGCGGCGCGGCCAUGCCGUAAAACCCCAACUUCUGAAUGUUGACCUCGGAUCAGGUAGGAAUACCCGCUGAACUUAAGCAUAUCAAUAAGCGGAGGA
rnacentral:misc_RNA from 1 species